ACAGAUAUACACUUGGAGAGGCUAUCCUAAAGAUGUCAAUCAGAAAGCGGAAUGCAGAGAAUACAAGGGACUGGAGUAAAAAUGGCAAAGAUUUUUUUCUACAGCAGAACAGAUGUAAUUUCCUCAUUCUCCUCAAUGCAUAUGGAGAUGUUUCAUAAAUGGAUAUGAUUCAUGGAGCUCUAGUCACCACAAAGCUUCCAAUAUUUUUCAGAAGGAAAUAAACUGCCUAUUAACAAUA